ACAUUGCCUGGCUGGAGGGCUGCUGAGAACACCCUGGAAGUAAGGGGGGAAGCUGCAAGGGGUUGGCAAGGAGGCUCCUGGUCCUGGGCAUGAUCUGAAACUGCACCCUGCUGGAAGUGGGUGGCCUGGUGGGGCUCUCAGUGGUGCGGGAGCCCCCAGGAAAUGCCAGGCCAGUGAUCACCCUGAGGAAAGCUCUGCAACUCUCUGAUGCCAUGGCAGAUACGGAAGUUUGAUUUCUGACUUCUGCCACCAAAUUUAUCCUCCUGGGCUUUGAGAUUCUUCCAGAGUUGCGAAUGCUUCUCUUCCUGCUGUUUCUCAUAAUCUGCCUUGCAACCAUGGCUGGGAACGUCCUCAUCAUUACACUUAUUAUAGUGGUUCAGAAUCUGCACAUCCCCAUGUACUUCUUCCUGGGGAACUUGUCCUGCUUGGAGACCUGCUAUACCUGUACCCUCCUGCCCAGGAUGCUGGCCAGCUUCCUUACUGGAGACAGAACCAUUUCAUUCUCUGGCUGCUUCAUGCAAUUAUUUUUCUUUGGUGUGUUGUUAGUUGGAGUGUUGUCUCUUAUCCAUGAUGUCUUAUGAUCGGUACUUAGCCAUAUGUAAACCAUUGCACUAUGCAGCCCUAAUGAGUGAGAGACUGUGUUUCAAUCUUGCUGCUGGCUCAUGGAUCAGUGGAUUUCUAGUUGUCUCAACCGUAUAUCUCCUCCUAUUACAAUUAAGGUUCUGUGGACCCAAUCAAGUUGACCAUUUCUUUUGUGACUACUUACCACUGAUUAAACUCUCCUGCAGCGACACCUCUGAGGUUGAACUUGUAGUUUCCAUUCUGGGUUGCAUAGUCCUUUUUCCCCCAUCCCUUUUGACUCUCAUGUCCUAGGUCUACGUUAUCACCACCAUACUGAGAAUCCCUUGCACUAUUGGGAGGCAAAAGGCUUUUUCCACUUGUUCUUCACAUAUUAUGGAGGUGACAAUUUUCUAUUGGUCUGUAACUAUAAUCUACAUGUUCUCAAGAACCAACACCCUUAGAGCCCUGAACAAAAUAUUCUCUCUUUUCUACACGGUGCUGACUCCAUUGGCCAACCCUCUCACUUACAGCCUGCGAAACAAGGAAGUAAAGGAGGCUGUAAAGAAAGCUGUCUCUUUUCAGAGACUGGAAGAAAUGCAGCCAUUUCUAAACUCUAUUUGCAGGUCCAAGCAAAAUGGAAAUAACAGGAAUCAGAGCUGUGGAAAAUGAGUGGCUCCUGGCCCAGCUGUUUGGGGGAAUAUUAGAAGAAAGAGAAUCUUUAUAGAGUGAUACAAUGCAUUUCAAUUCCUGUUCUAAUGACGGGAUUGUCCUGAUACCAUAGUGUUCCUUCUUAAAUUGUCCCAGAUGAGAAGAGUGAAUGGAUUUUGCAGGAUGACGUCUCCGUGCCUCUAGCUAGUAUACCCACAUAUUCUUCAACCACAGGCUUC